rnacentral:rRNA from 1 species
UGGGGGAUAUUGCACAAUGGAGGAAACUCUGAUGCAGCAACGCCGCGUGAGGGAAGAAGGUCUUCGGAUUGUAAACCUCAGUAGUCAGGGACGAAAGAAAUGACGGUACCUGAAGAGUAAGCUCCGGCUAACUACGUGCCGGCAGCCGCGGUAAUACGUAGGGAGCGAGCGUUGUCCGGAUUUACUGGGUGUAAAGGGCGCGCAGGCGGGAUAAAAAGUCAGUGGUGAAAUCCUACAGCUUAACUGUAGAACUGCCUUUGAUACUUUUAUUCUUGAGUUCGGGAGAGAGACGGAAUUCCAGGUGUAGUGGUGAAAUACGUAGAUAUCUGGAAGAACACCAGUUGCGAAGGCGGUCUCUUGGUCCGACACUGACGCUGAGGCGCGAAAGCGUGGGGAGCAAACA